rnacentral:pre_miRNA from 12 species
UGCUUCUAACUUUCCAAUAAGGUUUCCUUUAGGGCUGAAACUUUCCGUGCUUCGUUUCAGCGCAAAGGUGAAUUUAUUUUGGAAAGUUCGCAC